rnacentral:misc_RNA from 1 species
GAAAUGCGAUAAGUAGUGUGAAUUGCAGAAUUUAGCGAAUCAUCGAAUCUUUGAACGCACAUUGCGCCCGCCAGCACUCUGGCGGGCAUGCCUGUUCGAGCGUCAUUUCAACCCUCAGAACCCCUUGCGGGAUCUGGCGUUGGGGAUUGGCAUCCAGCCAGCCCCGAAAUCUAGUGGCGGUCCCUCCGCGACCUCCCCUGUGCAGUAGCGAUACCUCGCAGCGGGACAGCGGUCUGACCACGCCGUAAAACCCCCAACUUCUCAAGGUUGACCUCGAAUCAGGUAGGAAUACCCGCUGAACUUAAGC